CUCUUUUAGAUCUGCUGUGUGAUGUUUGGCAUUGAGAAGAAACUAAAGAAGCUCUGUGUAGCGUAGCGGCCCUCUUUUUUCCAGUUAUCCCCAAACCCAUCUCUCUGACUGAGAAGACUUCAGCUGUACUGACUCGCUGUUGUCUCUGUCUCCCUGCAGCCAAGCAAAGAAAUAACAUGUGAGAGAAACCAAGAGGACGGCCAUGAAGGCUCCACCCCCAAUUCCGGCCUUCACCCAUA